rnacentral:lncRNA from 1 species
CACGAUUUAAUCUGAGCCGUCCGAUCGCGAUUAAAAUGGGAAUAAAUCUGGACCGUCCAUCGCGAUGAGAUCUGGGCUGGGUACCUGGCUGUAGGUCUGUUGUGAACUCGACUUCCCUGUCCACUGGUAGUCCGGAUAGUUCGUCCGGAAACACAUCUGGAAAGUCUCGGACUACUGAAAUCUCUUGGAUACAAAUUUCCUUCUUGGCCU